rnacentral:tRNA from 1 species
GAGGGGAGGUUAAGCCAGCAGGAACUGCUAACUCUUGCAUCUGAGUCUAAAACCUCAGCCCCCUUA